AGCACGGCACACUGCAGUGCAGAAUGCUGAUCAGGUGACAGCAGCUGACUGCUUCACUUCAGGAUCUCCUUGGCAGUAAAGGCAUUAUCCAAUCUAUGCACAGAAGGAGGCAGCAGGCAGCUAGGAUUUGGUAGCAAUCACAGUGAGGAAACAUUUGCAGGACCUGUCUCAACAAUAUGAUUGCCUCAAUCACAGUAAUAUCAUACAGAAGGAGACUCUGAAUUCACAACUGCUGUCCAUGAGACCUAACCUAAGAAAUCUAAUAAUGAACACUUCAUAUGUGUGAGAUUUAUGUUAUGCUGAGACAGUUUUUACAAGAUUUAGAAACCAGAAUGUGAAGAAAGCAGAUAAUUUAGAAGAAAGAAGUACAAGAGGAAUUUUUUGUUCUCCAGUGUUCUGGAUGUCAAAACUUUCAAAUAUAUAAGAAAUGAAAAUCUAUGCAAAUUUCAUCCACAAUAUAAACUCUCAGCUUACAUCUGCUCUGGCAAUUUGCACAUAAGGAAAUAUAAUCUCUGUGUUUUGUGAUAAUAGUUGCACUUUCAAAGGUAAGCACAAGUUCUUGUAUGACCUAAUGAA